rnacentral:rRNA from 1 species
AACGAACGCUGGCGGCAGGCUUAACACAUGCAAGUCGAGCGCCCCGCAAGGGGAGCGGCAGACGGGUGAGUAACGCGUGGGAACGUACCCUUUGCUACGGAAUAGCUCCGGGAAACUGGAAUUAAUACCGUAUGUGCCCUACGGGGGAAAGAUUUAUCGGCAAAGGAUCGGCCCGCGUUGGAUUAGCUAGUUGGUGGGGUAAUGGCCUACCAAGGCGACGAUCCAUAGCUGGUCUGAGAGGAUGAUCAGCCACAUUGGGACUGAGACACGGCCCAGACUCCUACGGGAGGCAGCAGUGGGGAAUAUUGGACAAUGGGCGCAAGCCUGAUCCAGCCACGCCGCGUGUGUGAUGAAGGCCUUAGGGUUGUAAAGCACUUUCGCACGUGACGAUAAUGACGGUAGCGUGAGAAGAAGCCCCGGCUAACUUCGUGCCAGCAGCCGCCGUAACAC